rnacentral:pre_miRNA from 1 species
AAAAACACAAACCCUGGGUUUCUGUGUCUAACAUUUGACUGUCCGUAUUAUAAGAAUUUUUUUUAUAAUUUCUAUUUUUAUUGUUGUUAGAUGAUAAACAUGAUUAAUACUUUAUACGUGACUUGUCUUUUUAAUUUUUUUUCAUAAUGUUUUUAAAUAAGACGAACGGUCAAACGUUGGACACGGAAACCCAGGGUUUUUUUUGGA